CGCCUUGCCAGCCCGCUCAGAAACUUAAAGGAAUUGACGGGGCCGGCACAAGCGUGGAGUAUGUGGUUUAAUUCGAUGCAACGCGAAGAACCUUACCUGGUCUUGACAUCCCGGAGACCCUUAGGAAACUAGGGGGUGCUUCCAUCUGGAAGAAUCUGGAGACAGGUGCUGCAUGGCUGUCGUCAGCUCGUGUCGUGAGAUGUUGGGUUAAGUCCCGCAACGAGCGCAACCCUUGCCUUUAGUUGCCAGCAGUUCGGCUGGGCACUCUAAAGGGACUGCCGGUGUUAAACCGGAGGAAGGUGGGGAUGACGUCAAGUCCUCAUGGCCUUUAUGACCAGGGCUACACACGUACUACAAUGGCCGAUACAAAGGGCAGCGACACUGCGAGGUGAAGCCAAUCCCGUAAAAUCGGUCUCAGUCCGGAUUGGAGUCUGCAACUCGACUCCAUGAAGUUGGAAUCGCUAGUAAUCGUGGAUCAGCAUGCCACGGUGAAUACGUUCCCGGGCCUU
rnacentral:rRNA from 1 species